AGUGAACGCUGGCGGUAGGCCUAACACAUGCAAGUCGAACGGCAGCACAGAGGAGCUUGCUCCUUGGGUGGCGAGUGGCGGACGGGUGAGGAAUACAUCGGAAUCUACUCUGUCGUGGGGGAUAACGUAGGGAAACUUACGCUAAUACCGCAUACGACCUACGGGUGAAAGCAGGGGAUCUUCGGACCUUGCGCGAUUGAAUGAGCCGAUGUCGGAUUAGCUAGUUGGCGGGGUAAAGGCCCACCAAGGCGACGAUCCGUAGCUGGUCUGAGAGGAUGAUCAGCACCACUGGAACUGAGACACGGUCCAGACUCCUACGGGAGGCAGCAGUGGGGAAUAUUGGACAAUGGGCGCAAGCCUGAUCCAGCCAUACCGCGUGGGUGAAGAAGGCCUUCGGGUUGUAAAGCCCUUUUGUUGGGAAAGAAAUCCAUCUGGUUAAUACCCGGGUGGGAUGACGGUACCCAAAGAAUAAGCACCGGCUAACUUCGUGCCAGCCGCCGCGGUAA
rnacentral:rRNA from 1 species